UACAGAGGGGGCAAGCGUUGUUCGGAAUUACUGGGCGUAAAGGGCGCGUAGGCGGCCUGCUAAGUCGUACGUGAAAUCCCUGGGCUCAACCCAGGAACUGCGUCCGAUACUGGUUGGCUUGAAUCCGGGAGAGGGAUGUGGAAUUCCAGGUGUAGCGGUGAAAUGCGUAGAUAUCUGGAGGAACACCGGUGGCGAAGGCGACAUCCUGGACCGGUAUUGACGCUGAGGCGCGAAAGCCAGGGGAGCAAACGGG
rnacentral:rRNA from 1 species